rnacentral:miRNA from 1 species
GGUCACACCCUGGAUCCAGCCCUGUCACAUGGUUAACAUUCCACAGCCAAUGACUGAGCUAGAGCCAGAGCCGCCGCCC